GGAGAAAUGGCAGAGCGGUCGAUUGCGGCAGUCUUGAAAACUGUUGAGGUGCGAGGUAACGGGGGUUCGAAUCCCUCUUUCUCCGCCA
rnacentral:tRNA from 1 species